GUACACUCCUGCGGGAGGCAGCAGUGGGGAAUUUUGGACAAUGGGCGAAAGCCUGAUCCAGCCAUGCCGCGUGCAGGAUGAAGGCCUUCGGGUUGUAAACUGCUUUUGUACGGAACGAAACGGCCUUUUCUAAUAAAGAGGGCUAAUGACGGUACCGUAAGAAUAAGCACCGGCUAACUACGUGCCAGCAGCCGCGGUAAUACGUAGGGUGCAAGCGUUAAUCGGAAUUACUGGGCGUAAAGCGUGCGCAGGCGGUUAUGUAAGACAGUUGUGAAAUCCCCGGGCUCAACCUGGGAACUGCAUCUGUGACUGCAUAGCUAGAGUACGGUAGAGGGGGAUGGAAUUCCGCGUGUAGCAGUGAAAUGCGUAGAUAUGCGGAGGAACACCGAUGGCGAAGGCAAUCCCCUGGACCUGUACUGACGCUCAUGCACGAAAGCGUGGGGAGCAAACAGGAUUAGAAACCCUGGUAGUCCCA
rnacentral:rRNA from 1 species